rnacentral:rRNA from 1 species
UACGUAGGGGGCUAGCGUUGUCCGGAAUCAUUGGGCGUAAAGAGCGCGUAGGCGGCCAGAUAAGUCCGGUGUGAAAGUCAAAGGCUCAACCUUUGAAUGCCGCUGGAAACUGUCUGGCUAGAGUCCGGGAGGGGCGAGUGGAAUUCCUGGUGUAGCGGUGAAAUGCGCAGAUAUCAGGUGGAACACCAAUGGCGAAGGCAGCUCGCUGGACUCAUACUGACACUGAGGUGCGAAAGCGUGGGGAGCAAACAGG